AACUGAUACUACCUGCGGGAACCUGCGGAGGGAUCAUUACAGGACUCGCAAGACUCCUUACACCCUGUGAACCUUACUGUAUACGCGUUGCUUCGGCGGGUCCGCCCGCCGGCAGCAUACCACAUUCUGUUUCUCUGCGUUGGCAUCUCGAGAAAAAAGCAAAUAAGUUAAAACUUUCAACAAUGGAUCUCU
rnacentral:misc_RNA from 1 species